GACGAACCGUGCGAACGUUGUUCGGAAUCACUGGGCUUAAAGGGCGCGUAGGCGGGUUCUCAAGUCUGGAGUGAAAGCCCACGGCUCAACCGUGGAAGCGCUUCGGAUACUGGGGGCCUCGAGGGAGGUAGGGGCGUGCGGAACUUCCGGUGGAGCGGUGAAAUGCGUAGAUAUCGGAAGGAACACCGGUGGCGAAAGCGGCGCGCUGGACCUCUUCUGACGCUGAGGCGCGAAAGCCAGGGGAGCAAACGGGAUUAGAUACCCCGGUAGUCCUGGCCCUAAACGUUGGGUACUAGGUUGUGGGCUUACAUGGGCUCACAGCCGGAGCAAAAGUGUUAAGUACCCCGCCUGGGGAGUAUGGUCGCAAGGCUGAA
rnacentral:rRNA from 1 species